rnacentral:lncRNA from 1 species
UUUGAGGCUAAGUUAUCCAAUUAGGGUUUAAGGUGAAACCCUAAGAGCUCACAGUAUAAAUAGGCCCUUAGGGUUCAAGAAAUCGGCCACUCGAUAUUUGAGGAAACCCUAGAGCUGAUUUCUCACCUCUCUUCUUCUCUUAAAUCAUCUUCUUGCUAGUUGGUGUUUGUAAGCCAUUAGAGGAGUGGCAAUUGUGACUCUAAGCUCCAAGAAGAAGAAGGUUUCAAGCAAGUAACUCAAGGUAUUAUUCUAGAUCUGUUUUCAUAUGUUUUGAUUGUUAGUUUACAUUAGAUCUAGCCAUGACAGUCUUGGAUAUAUUGCAUGUUCAAUUAGAGAAACCUAGAUCCAAGCUAUAGGGUUGUAUGUGCACAUAGGAAAGAUCUUAUGUCCAAAACCCAUCAGUGGUAUCAGAGCCAUGAUAGGUUUCAAAUGAAUGUGAUGCUUAACUGUUUUGCUUGCUGAAAAUCAUUUUUCUUCACCUAUGUCCGACCCAACUCGGCGAGUUGGCCCUACUCGGCGAGUACACAGCUUGACUCGGCGAGUCCCAGCGUCAGACAGAGGAUAAUUCGGGAUUUUGUUGUUGUUUCGUCUUGGAUUGAUACCUAAAUCGUUUUAUUAUGUAAAAAUCCGAAUUUUAACUUAAUUUAAUGAUUAUCCUUGACAUAAAUAUAGAUAAUUUCAAAUCUUUUAAAUAUUGAUUAUUUAUAUGAUAAAUAUUGGACUAUUUAAGAUUAUUUGGUAAUUAUCUAGUGACUAAAAUUGGAUUAGGUCAAAUAUAGAUAAUUAUGAAAUUAAUUGUUUAAUUUGAAUUAUUUGUUAUUUGAUCCCCAUUGUUUUUGAAAAGGUUCAAAAUUUAUCCCGGAGUUUUGAAAUUUGAAUUUUGUGAAUAAUAGUUAAAUUUAGAAGAAUUUAAAUUUCAACCCCUAGAAUUUUACAAGUUUAAAAUCCAACCCUAUACUAUUAUAUUAUUACAAGCUUAAUAAAUAUAUAAGUAAAAUUAAAAUGCAAGUCUUACCGUUAGUAGGCCUCAUUCACGAAGCCGGUCUAUAAGGUGGGUAUAAGGUUGCUGCCUAUAAAAUGGCGCUUAAUGGGUGUACACUCACACCCACCGCUUGCUUGACCGGUGGAGGGUCGUUAGCCGAACGGGUAGGAUAGGGCAACUCUCUCUCCUCAUUAAUAAGUAUAAUGAAUCUAUAAAGUAACCAAACUAUUUUAUAAAAUUCCCAAUCUUAGCUACUUUAGGAAAAGUGAAUUGAUGCAAUCCCAUGAAAUUGCACUUUGCACCCUUGUUGAGAAGUUAGUGGAGCGUGUGUGGUUUACCGGCACACUAAUUGGUUCUAAGCAAAGGUGCCAAAUGGUGAUUCAUUGUUUAUCAUAGUUCGAUGGAGCGUGUGUGGUUUACCGGCACAUCGAAUGGGUGAUUGUAACAAUGAAGGCACCGUGUAGAUUUGCAUGGUUAUUCACACCCGCUUUGUGAUCCUCGGUAUCCCAGUCACAAACUAGAGGGGCAUGUCGAGAUUUAAACAUGCCAUUGAAAGGUUCAAUGAAUCUCAAAGAAAAAUCUAGGAAUUCUCAAUAAAACUUAAGGUUAUGUUUUCGUGGUGAAGAAUUAGUGAAUUGUCAUUCACUUACCUCCAAAUUAUUUGCAUAUUGGAUUACGGUAUCCCUUUUCUAGUAUGUAAAUAAUGUUGUUGGGUCCUAGCCCUAAUUUUUCAUUUGGGUGUUUAAUUAGGGAUCCAAUUCUAAUCAAACUUUGUCCUUUCUAUUUGUAGAUGUCGAACGCAAACAACGCUGCUGCUAACUCAUUCACCUUAAUGAGUCUUUGCCAAAAGGUGACCUUCGAUGGUACGAACUUUAGCGAAUGGAUAAGAUACAUUCGCACCAUCGCACGCUACGAGGACAAAGAGUAUGUCAUCGACAAAAAGCUCGAGAAGGUCAACCCAGAAAUCGCUACUCCCGAAGAGAUGGCUGUCUUUGAGACACAUGAACGUGAUGCAACAAAAGUCCAUUGCAUCAUGAUAGCCACUAUGAACCAAGAAUUCCAAAAGUCCUAUGAGGACAUGUAUCCCUAUGAGAUGCAUCAAGACUUGAUGGAGAGAUACCACCAAAGCGCGAGGCAAGAGCGCUAUGAGAUCAUCACCAACAUGAUCACUGCCAAUAUGGGAAGUGGAGAAUCGUUAACUGUGCACUUGCAAAAGAUGCAAAGAUAUGUUGAUCGUCUUCGCAAGUUAAAUGUUAACUUUGGGGAGGAUUUGGCCAUCGACAUUGUUCUUCACUCCUUGCCUUCAUGCUACAACCAAUUUAGGAUGACCUACCGUAUAAACAAGGAAGAGGUCACCCUAAGCAAACUCCAAGGACUCCUAAGGACUGCUGAGAGAAACCUAAAGGACAAGUCUGUUGCACCAACUCCCGCACCAACCGCUGCUCCUAUUUUGGCUAUAGGGCAAGGAAGGGGCAAGAAGAGGAAGGCUCCGUCAAAAAGCCACUGCAAGGGAAAGUUCCAAGAUGGUUCCUCUUCUAGUGGGACCAAGGUUGAUCCUGCUGAGCCCAACCCUAACCCGAAGGAGGCAGAGUGCCAUCAUUGCCACAAAAUAGGGCAUUGGAAGAGAAGCUGCUCGGAAUAUCUGCAAGCCAUCAAGGAUGGAAAGAUCAAGCCAUCUUUUGCAGGUAUAUACACAAUUAAAUCUAAUGAUUCAUCUCAUACUAUUUCUUGGGUUCUUGAUACAGGAUGUGGUUACCACAUUUGUUCUGAUUUGCAGGGACUAAGAAGAGAUAGAGAUGUGGAGCAAGGAAAAAUAAAUCUAAUCAUGGGAAACAUAAUAUCGUCGCCUGUCACCAAGAUUGGAGUGUAUUCUUUAGUGCUUAGUAAUGGAUUAGGUUUAGAUUUAAAUAAUUGUUGCUACUCGCCAUAUAUGGCAAGAAACAUCAUUUCAUUUCAUGGUUUGUUUAGACAAGGAUUUAGAUAUUCGUUUAAUAAUAUGAAUGGUUCUAUUUAUGCUUAUCUAAAUGGUGUUUUAUACUUUGAAGCAAUGACUUGUAAUGGAAUUUAUGAAACUGUUAUGGUUGUAGAUAACCUAGGAAAUGAUGUGUUGUUUAUGGAUUCUUCCAAUAGUGUGGAUAAAGCAUCUUUGUGGCAUUGUCGUCUUGGACAUGUCAACAAGAAACGCAUAGCCCAACUCCAAAAGGAUGGAGUGUUGGAGUCAUUCGACCUUAAGGAAGAUGACACGUGCGGAUUUUGUUUACUUGGAAACAUGACCAAGUCACCCUUCACUGUCACUUGUGAAAGGGUUGAGGGUUUAUUGGAUCUCAUACAUACCGAUGCAUGUGGGCCCUUUAGCUCCACCACAAAGGAUGGAAACCGCUUCUAUGUUUCACCGAUGAUUAUAGUAGAUAUGGGUAUAUUUACUUAAUCAAGCACAAGUCUGAAACAUUUGAAAAGUUCAAAGAGUUCAAGAAUGAAGUGGAGAAUCAAUUAGGUAGGAAAAUCAAGAUGCUUCGAUCCGAUCGAGGAGAAGAGUACUUAAGACUUGAAUUCCACGACUAUCUCAAGGAAUGCGGAAUAGUUUCGCAAUUGACGCCACCUAGGACACCACAGUUAAAUGGUGUGGCAGAAAGGCACAAUCGAACCUUGUUAGACAUGGUUCGUUGUAUGAUGAGUCGUGCUUCACUACCUAUCUCAUUUUGGGGGUAUGCCUUAGAGACUGCCGCCCAUAUCCUUAACCGAGUCCCUACAAAAAAGGUUGCCAAAACACCUCACGAGAUGUGGACAGGGAAAGCUCCCUCGUUAGCACAUAUCAAGGUUUGGGGUUGUGAAGUUUUCGUAAGACGAGAAACUCAUGACAAGCUCGAACCUCGUAGUGGGCAAUGUAUUUUCAUCGGCUACCCGUAGAAAUCCUUUGGAUAUCUCUUCUAUAGACCGAGUGACAAUGUUGUCUUCGUUGCGAGGAUAGGGGUUUUCCGAGAACGAGAACUCAUAAACCAAGGAGACAGUGGGAGACAGAUCGAUCUUGAAGAGAUUCAAGAGUCGAGUGAUGAAGGAACCUCUACCGCUGGCACUCAACCCGAGGAGGAAACUCUGAUUGAACCAAUUGACGAGUCCUUACCUCUUAGAUGUUCUGAAAGAGUUAGAGUUCAACCCCAGUUGUAUGGUUUUCAUAUUACUACCGAAGGGGACACGUAUAUUAGUGAUAGUACACUAAUAAAUCUAGAUGAACCUAAUUGCUAUAAGGAAGUCAUGGCAGGCCCGGAGUCUGCAAAAUGGAAAGAGGCGAUGGACAGUGAGAUUCAAUCCAUGUAUGACAACCAAGUUUGGUAUUUGGUUGACAAUGUGCCUGGACGUAAGACAUUUGGAUGCAAAUGGAUUUUCAAGAAGAAGACCGACAUGGAUGGGAAUGCGCACACAUACAAGGCACGACUGGUGGCGAAGGGCUCUACUCAAACUCCUGGAGUUGACUAUGAUGAAACCUUCUCACUAGUUGCGAAAAUUAAGUCUAUUAGGGUGAUGCUAGCCAUUGCCGCAUUUCAUGAUUAUGAGAUAUGACAAAUGGAUGUCAAGACUGCUUUCCUAAAUGGGAAGUUGGCUGAGGAUGUUCACAUGGCUCAGCCAGAGGGUUUUGUCGAUCCGAAGCAUCCAAAUAGAGUGUGCAAGCUUGAGAAGUCCAUUUAUGGACUUAAGCAAGCAUCUACCAGAUGGAAUCUUUGCUUUGAUGAGAAAGUCAAAGAGUUUGGAUUUGUACGAAGCGAGGAUGAAUCAUGUGUAUAUGUCAAAGCCAGUGGGAGCAUAGUUAGCUUUCUCAUUUUGUAUGUCGAUGACAUACUGCUCAUAGGAAACGACAUCCCGACUCUGCAGGAGGUAAAGUCCUGGCUCGGGAAGUGCUUCGCUAUGAAGGACCUCGGAGAGGCUUCCUAUAUUUUGGGAAUAAGGAUAGUGAGAGAAAGAAGUAAGAGACUAAUAGGACUUAGUCAGAAUACUUACUUAGAUAAGGUACUAAAACGUUUUAGUAUGGAGAACUCGAAGAAGGGAGAACUACCGAUACAAAGUAAUACAAAGUUGAGUAAGACUCAAAGUCCGAGUACCGAAGCUGAGAUAGCUGAGAUGAGCCGAGUACCUUACGCUUCCGCAGUUGGCUCAAUCAUGUAUGCUAUGACUUGUACUCGUCCUGAUGUGGCCUUUGCUUUGAGCAUGGUCAGUAGAUAUCAAGGGAAUCCUGGAAGAGCGCAUUGGAUUGCGGUCAAGAACAUCCUUAAGUACCUUCGGAGGACCAAGGAAUGGUUUCUAGUCCUCGGAGGGAGUGAUGACUUAAAGGUGCGAGGGUAUAGUGACGCCAGUUUCCAGACCGACAGGGACAACUACCGUUCGCAGUCGGGAUGGGUCUUUACCCUUAAUGGAGGAGCGGUAACUUGGAAAAGUUCCAAACAGGAAACUGUAGCUGAUUCAACGUGCGAAUCAGAGUACAUUGCAGCGAGCGAAGCGUCAAAGGAGGCAAUAUGGUUGAAGAACUUCAUUGGCGAUCUUGGAGUUGUGCCUGCUAUAAAGGAGCCCAUGGAAAUUUUCUGUGAUAAUGAAGGAGCGGUUGCCUUGACCAAGGAACCGAGGGAUCAUGGUAGAUCUCGNNNNNNNNNNNNNNNNNNNNNUCUUAUGUUAAUUGUUUAGCUAUUGUUUCACUUUGCAUGUUUUGACUUCCAGAAUAAUUGAGUUUAUUAAGAAUAAUCGAAUUAUUCAAACUGUCCACAAUCGUUCAUAUGUUGGAAGUAGGUAUGAAUGAAGAUUGUCAUGAAUUGGUGUGUAGAUUGUCUAAAUGGUAUUAGACAUAGCAAAGGUUUGCUGCAACGUUCAUGAGUGCUUAUGAACAAGUUUUGAGCAUUGGAAUAAACCCGCGCUUGCUGGAAUCACUUUGGAGUGAUCGCAAGACGAUAAUAUCAUAUGGUCUUAAAACCUAGAUAUAUGGUUUAUUAUUUACUAAUUGGUUGUACAUUGAUAAUGUGAAACCGCAUCAGUAAAUUGAUGUCAUAAAACGCAUUGUUGUGUAUAGUAGAUUAGUCGAUAAGUAAAUGCAUAUAAGUCGAAGUUUAUCUGUUACUUUUAUCCUAAGAGGGUAAAAGUGAUAUCACGGCCGCUUGAUGAUUUGAUUUGACUUAUGUGUCGGGCCCGGUCAGGACUGAAUUGAUGUGUUCAAUUAAGUUCUAUGUCAAAUAAAUCUGAGAUUGAGAAAAUAGUUGCUGGACAAUAAGUAUGACAAUGUUUCAUGAAAUCGUCUACACGAUAUCAAAACAGAGGACUGUACGAUCCCUUAUCUAAAGGACAGGUUACUGAUAAGAUCAGAGUUGACAGCGUCUUUGAGAGCUACGAUUGCUAAUCGGAUUGUGUUUGCAUUUAUAGUUACUAGACUUAUCCAAGUGGGAGACUGUUGGAUUAGUGUCUAAGGCUGUAACUAUAUUUGGUAAAUACUUGACCCGAUUGUGCAUGGUCCUUUUGGGUUGCCUUCACCAUAACAACUUGACAGGGUGAUUUAUAUAGACAGAAGAGAUAUUAUUAUUAAUGUAUUAUAAGAAUAAUAUGUUAAAGGAAUAAUAAUAUUAUUUGAUUAAUAAAAGUCAUAAAUUAAUUAGGAAUUAAUUUGGUGACUUAAAGAGAUUAAUUGAAUAAAGGGGCAUAAACUGUCAAAUGUGUGAUAGUUGUAUUUUGGGCUAAGGAUCGUUAUGGAUAUAGGGGUGGACGAUUUUAGGGAUAUGGAUCUCCUAGAAAUCGUCCAAGGCUUAUCUAGCAUGAUCUUUCGAUUGCUUUGAGGCUAAGUUAUCCAAUUAGGGUUUAAGGUGAAACCCUAAGAGCUCACAUCAUAAAUAGGCCCUUAGGGUUCAAGAAAUUGGCCACUCGAUGUUUGAGGAAACCCUAGAGCCAAUUUCUCACCUCUCUCCUUCUCUUAAAUCAUCUUCUUGCUAGUUGGUGUUUGUAAGCCAUUAGAGGAGUGACAAUUGUUACU